UACGGAGGGGGCGAGCGUUGUUCGGAAUCACUGGGCGUAAAGGGCGCGUAGGCGGCCUUGCAAGUCGGUUGGUGAAAGCCCGGGGCUCAACCCCGGAGGUGCGGCCGAGACUGCAGGGCUGGAGGCCGGAAGAGGAGGGUGGAAUACCCAGUGUAGAGGUGAAAUUCGUAGAUAUUGGGUGGAACACCGGUGGCGAAAGCGGCUCUCUGGUCCGGACCUGACGCUGAGGCGCGAAAGCGUGGGGAGCAAACAGG
rnacentral:rRNA from 1 species